AUUACUCCUACGGGAGGCAGCAGUGGGGAAUAUUGGACAAUGGGGGGAACCCUGAUCCAGCCAUGCCGCGUGUGUGAAGAAGGCCUUUUGGUUGUAAAGCACUUUAAGCAGGGAGGAGAGGCUAAUGGUUAAUACCCAUUAGACGAGACGUUACCUGCAGAAUAAGCACCGGCUAACUCUGUGCCAGCAGCCGCGGUAAUAAU
rnacentral:rRNA from 1 species